rnacentral:rRNA from 1 species
CCUACGUGUGGCAGCAGUGGGGAAUAUUGCACAAUGGGGGAAACCCUGAUGCAGCGACGCCGCGUGAGUGAAGAAGUAUUUCGGUACGUAAAGCUCUAUCAGCAGGGAAGAAAAUGACGGUACCUGACUACGAAGCCCCGGCUAACUACGUGCCAGCAGCCGCGGUAAUACGUAGGGGGCAAGCGUUAUCCGGAUUUACUGGGUGUAAAGGGAGCGUAGACGGCAGCGCAAGUCUGGAGUGAAAUCCCAUGGCUUAACCAUGGAACUGCUUUGGAAACUGUGCAGCUGGAGUGCAGGAGAGGUAAGCGGAAUUCCUAGUGUAGCGGUGAAAUGCGUAGAUAGUAGGAGGAACACCAGUGGCGAAGGCAGCUUACCAAGCUACGUCUGACGUUGAGGCACGAAAGCGUGGGGAGCAAACAGGAUUAGAUACCCUAGUAGUC